rnacentral:lncRNA from 1 species
CCAGACGGCGGGAAACCACCGCAGGUCAACGUGCCGAGUGCGGGACGCAGCUUCCUAGAAACCGCUGGGCGGGAGAAGGCGGGAUCCUGUCCCCGCUCAGAGACCUGAGGAUUUUCGGGAAGUUGUUAGUGUGAAUCACGAGUCGUGAUGGCGGUGAGAGCUGGGAGACAAACCACCGAGUAGAUCCUGGAGUCGAGGCGGCGAGACGGACACAGACGGAGGGAGGCGGCGAGAGGCGAGCCCCCCGCUGGACGGGUGGGACGCGGGGCUGGCGGAGAGGAGACCGCAGAGAUUCUUCAUGGCCUCUGAUAGUGGCUCACACUCCCUCCACGGGAAAGCUGCCCCGGGCCCUGGGGCGCUCAGCGGUUGAGCCUGUGUCCUCGGCUCAGGUCGUGAUCCUGGGGUCGCAGGAUCGAGUCCCACACCGAGCUCCCUGCGAGGAGCCUGCUUCGCCCUCUGCCUGUGUCUCUGCCUCUCUCUGUGUCUCUCACGUAUAGAUAAAUAAAGUUAAAAAAAAAAAAGACCAACAAAGGAAAGUUGCUCCAAAUAUCACUAUCAAACGAGGCCCAUGAGAAGUAACUUUGAAAGACUGGAGAAGAUCUAGAAGAAUUCUAUACUCAAAUUGUCUCACAAUUAAUAUAAUUUUUUACAUCAAUUUAAAGAAACUUAAAUGUGACAAAUGGAAGCUGUGCUUUAAAGAAAAAUGAGACAAAAAUUGCUAAUCAGCACAGCUAAUUAGAUAUGGGCCGGAAUCAAAAGAUUGGCAAAUCAUUUCUACUUAAAGUGUAUUUAUUUAGGUUAAAAGAGAAUUGAAGAUGUACACACUUCUGUUAAGAUUAUUAUUAUUCCACAAAAUCUUGCCAUUUGCAACAACACGGAUGGAGCUAAAGGGUAUCAUGCAGAGGGAAAUAAGUCAGUCAGGGGAAGACAAAUACCAUAUGAUCUCACCUGUAUAUGGCAUUUAAGAAACAAAACAGAUGAACAUGGGGAAGGAACAAAAAAUAAAAAGAUGAAAAUUAAGAGGGAGGCAAACCAUAAGAGACGCUGAACUCAAGG